rnacentral:rRNA from 1 species
UACGUAGGGGGCAAGCGUUAUCCGGAUUUACUGGGUGUAAAGGGAGCGUAGACGGUUCUGCAAGUCUGAUGUGAAAGGCGGGGGCUCAACUCCUGGACUGCAUUGGAAACUGUAGGACUUGAGUGCCGGAGAGGUAAGCGGAAUUCCUGGUGUAGCGGUGAAAUGCGUAGAUAUCAGGAGGAACACCAGUGGCGAAGGCGGCUUACUGGACGGUAACUGACGUUGAGGCUCGAAGGCGUGGGGAGCAA